UACGGGGGGAGCAAGCGUUGUUCGGAUUUACUGGGCGUAAAGGGCGCGUAGGCGGCCACCGCAAGUCAGUUGUGAAAUCUCCGAGCUUAACUCGGAAAGGUCAACUGAUACUGCGGGGCUAGAGUGCGGAAGGGGCAACUGGAAUUCUUGGUGUAGCGGUGAAAUGCGUAGAUAUCAAGAGGAACACCAGUGGCGAAGGCGGCUUCCUGGACUCAUACUGACACUGAGGUGCGAAAGCGUGGGGAGCAAACAGG
rnacentral:rRNA from 1 species